rnacentral:rRNA from 1 species
UGGGGGAAAAAAACAAACAGGGUAUUGCCUUAGUAACGGCGAGUGAAGCGGCAAUAGCUCAAAUUUGAAAUCUGGCUCUUUUAGAGUCCGAGUUGUAAUUUGUAGAAGAUGCUUCGGCUUACGUAUCGGUCUAAGUUCCUUGGAACAGGACGUCACAGAGGGUGAGAAUCCCGUUUGUGGCCGAUACUUCCGCUAUGUGAAGCUCCUUCGACGAGUCGAGUUGUUUGGGAAUGCAGCUCUAAAUGGGAGGUAAAUUUCUUCUAAAGCUAAAUAUUGGCCAGAGACCGAUAGCGCACAAGUAGAGUGAUCGAAAGAUGAAAAGCACUUUGGAAAGAGAGUUAAAAAGUACGUGAAAUUGUUGAAAGGGAAGCGCUUGCGACCAGACUUGCCUUUAGUUGCUCCGCCGGUCCUUCGACCGGUGUAUUCUUCUAUUGUCAGGCCAGCAUCAGUUUGGGUGGUUGGAUAAAGGCAUUGGGAAUGUGACUCUCUUCGGGGAGUGUUAUAGCCCUUUGUGUAAUACAGCCUACCUAGACUGAGGACCGCGCUUCGGCUAGGAUGCUGGCGUAAUGGUCGUAAGCGGCCCGUCUUGAAACACGGACCAAGGAGUCUAACAUCUAUGCGAGUGUUUGGGUGUCAAACCCGUGCGCGAAAUGAAAGUGAACGGAGGUGGGAACCUUUGGGUGCACCAUCGACCGAUCCUGAUGUCUUCGGAUGGAUUUGAGUAAGAGCAUAGCUGUUGGGACCCGAAAGAUGGUGAACUAUGCCUGAAUAGGGUGAAGCCAGAGGAAACUCUGGUGGAGGCUCGCAGCGGUUCUGACGUGCAAAUCGAUCGUCAAAUUUGGGUAUAGGGGCGAAAGACUAAUCGAACCAUUAAAAACUUAGUUACUAGGUGGUUAAGAGGCGGCUAAAAGUGACCGUCUAGUCCCUUCAUUCGGGGCAACACCGUCAAAUUGCGGGGACUUCCUUAGAGCUUGAACUACCGCGACUACAUUGAAAAUGUUGGUGCAGCACCGGGUUAAUUACCUAGGGGAUGGUAAAAUGUUCAAGAUUGGUUAAUCCGCAGCCAGUCCUAAGUCAUAAUAACAAAA